UUGCCGCGGUUUCGCCUGAUGAAGCCUCCGAACGAAGGAAUAUCCCAGGCUUCCACAAUCAAGAAAGUCUGAUCAAAAUAUCAGCAAAGAAGAAGCAUUCGGAGAGGUGGAAAAAAGAAUCGAAAUAAGGGGGAGAAGAAGGGGGAGAGGAGGAGAAUGAAGAAGGUAGUGAAGAAGGUAGUGAAGAAGGUAAGUAAUUGUGAGAGAUUCAAUAGGUGUAAAAUUGCAUUUGAGUGAAGGAACUUAGGUGGUAUGAGGAAGACGACGAAGGCUGGGGAAGAAGGAAGGAAGAUCGAAGCUCAAGAAAAACAGAAAUUUUUUCCAUGGGGA
rnacentral:lncRNA from 1 species